UGUCUUUAAAUCCCCAGGAACUAACAUAGUGCAUGACUUAUAGUGGCUGCUUCACCUGUUUUACUGCUUACUUGCUUAAUUGGAUAUUUUGACAUAAUGGAAUUAGCAAAAGCAUUGGAUUUGAGUAGAAGAGGAAAUGAAAAGAAAAAGGACAUUUAGCAACCAUUCCUUUAAAUGAAUGUACUCUCAUAAACUAGUUAUUAUUUUGCCAGAAGUCAAGUGGUAUCUGCUCCAGUUCAUUCUUUCAUCCUCAGCUUCUCAGAACUCCCCAGAUCAGGUAGAUGACUCUUUUUAAGAAGGGAAGCUCUGAUGUUUACUUGCUGCUGAUAUGAUGUAUUCAGUCUUUUUGGGAAGGAUGAUGUGGAAAAUGUUAUCAGAGAACAAAGGAGGUUAUUAGUGCUGUUUGGUCUACGUCAGAGUAAGAGCUUGACUUAGGUAAGAUAAAUGGAUGCUGAGGGCAUAACAUGAAAUAUGAAACAAGAGGGACACUU
rnacentral:lncRNA from 1 species